CCACAGCUAAGAACAACCCGCUGACCACCAAGCUGGUCCCUGGAAUGUGCUCUUGGCUCCCUCGUGCGCGCACUCUGCUCCGGAAGGACGUCAGGAAGCCCCCUCGGCCUGCUCUUAAGGGACGGAAGCCCUGGAUUUAAGGAGGAAAAGAGGACAUUGACUCAGGAAGCAGGGGACACAACCCAGGAGAGAGGGAGUCGUGGUCCAGGAGCCCCACAGAGAGCCUGUCCCGGGGGGAGCGGAAGACGGAGGCCUGGGAAGGACGUCUCCGGGGGGAACAGGCUGACUCAGCUCCAGGGGGCACCUCCCCAGCAGCCACUGAUGUAAUGGAACACAGAGAG